rnacentral:tRNA from 1 species
GAGAUAUUAGUAAAAUUUACAUAACUUUGUCAAGGUUAAAUUACAGGUGGGACCCCUGUAUAUCUCC